UACGUAGGGUGCAAGCGUUGUCCGGAAUUAUUGGGCGUAAAGCGCACGUAGGCGGCAUUGCAAGUCGGAUGUGAAAUCUUAUGGCUUAACCAUAAAAGUGCAUCCGAAACUGCAGUGCUUGAGUACUUAAGAGGAUCGCGGAAUUCCCGGUGUAGAGGUGAAAUUCGUAGAUAUCGGGAGGAACACCAGUGGCGAAGGCGGCGAUCUGGGAAGAUACUGACGCUGAGGUGCGAAAGCGUGGGGAGCAAACAGG
rnacentral:rRNA from 1 species